UGGCUUAUUUUCUUCUACCCUGUGUAGUUUUGCUCAUUUUCUUCAAGGAUUGACUAGCUUCUUCCAAACCACAUUGUGCCUAAACAAUGAGUUUGAUUAGAUGCACAACCUUUGACAUCAAUAACAAAGAUAUGACCUGUGACCCUUUUGUGUGCUGCGCUUAGGGACGAUGUCAUCACCAUAGGCCUCAGAGAUGGAAAAAUGACAGGGCUAUGCAGGGGGUCGAGAGUUCCUGGCUGUAACGUGACCCUGCUGAUGCUUCAGUCAUGCCUGCUAUGAGAGGCCUCUGUUUGGGCCACAGCCCCCUCCUCCGGGGUCUGGAUGGCCCGUCCACCACUGCCGGGGGUUUUGCUGGGAGGACGUGGGAUGGCCGAACAACACAGAGCCGGAUAUACAGUGGCCAUGAACCGGCCCAAUCUAUCCCACCCUCCACCUGCUAGACAUACAUCACCAAGACCAUCUGCAGCAAUUCUGCAACCUGCUUCCUCAACUGGACACAAUAACACACUGGAGCUGUUAGUUUGUUUCCUCAGCUCAUGUGAGCUAAAUUUUAAGUUCCUGCCAAGGUCAGUUUAAAAGACUCAAAGCAGGGAGCAGAGAGUGAAAAAAUAAGAAAGUAAAGCCCAAAAGAGCAUCUGAAUAAAAUGAUUCCAGUACAUUGUGCAAUGCUUUAGUAGUUUUAGGUCACGUGUUGUGUGACUUGCUUUGAGUGCAAACUUGGUCUGUGCUGCCACUUUGUGGUCAUAGGUGUAAUUUGUUAGAAAUGUUCUGCUCUGACUCUUACCCUUAUGAAACAUUUCCAUAUACAGGAAACUAGUGCUUAUAUUUUUCAGUAUGUGAUGCAUGCAUUAUUUUAGCGUAUUGUAAAAAAAUGCUUGAGCAUUUAUGAACAAAUUAAUGCUCUUUCCUGCAAUUCUUCAAUCAGUGCCGAGUUCUCCGGAUCCACGGCAGAAACAAAUUAGGUAAGUUCUGAUUGCAUGACCUGCUACAUGAGAUUGAAGAACUGGAACAUUCAACAGAUUUGGAUUCU